GUCUCUAUGGCUCAGUCGGUAGAGCGUUGGUCUCAUAUCAAAUACAUAUGACUCUGGGAAACAUCCUGGGGGUUAUCCAAAGGUCGCAAGUUCGAGCCUUGCUAGGGACA
rfam:Colletotrichum salicis strain CBS 607.94 Scaffold_929.1, whole genome shotgun sequence.